rnacentral:rRNA from 1 species
UACAGAGGUCUCAAGCGUUGUUCGGAUUCAUUGGGCGUAAAGAGCGUGUAGGCGGCCAGGUAGGUCUGGUGUGAAAACUCGAGGCUCAACCUCGAGAGGUCAUCGGAAACCAUUUGGCUAGAGUCCGGAAGAGGAGAGUGGAAUUCCCGGUGUAGCGGUGAAAUGCGCAGAUAUCGGGAAGAACACCUAUGGCGAAGGCAGCUCUCUGGGACGGUACUGACGCUGAGACGCGAAAGCGUGGGGAGCGAACAGG